rnacentral:rRNA from 1 species
AGAGUUUGAUCAUGGCUCAGAGUGAACGUUGGCGGCGUGCCUGACACAUGCAAGUCGAACGAUUCCCGAAUAGCUUACUAUUCGGAGAAGAGUAGCGAACGGGUGAGUAACACGUGAGUAAUCACCCCUCGAGUGAGGAAUAAUUCCGCGAAAGCGGGACUAAUACCGCAUAAUACUCAUGGGAGCAUAAGCCUUUAGAGUCAAAGCUUUCCGAGCAAUCGGAUGGCGCUUGAGGACGAGCUCGCGGCCUAUUAGCUAGUUGGUGGGGUAAUGGCCUACCAAGGUUAUGAUGGGUAGCCGGCUUGAGAUGGGUGUACGGCCACACUGGGACUGAGACACGGCCCAGACUCCUACGGGAGGCAGC